rnacentral:misc_RNA from 1 species
UGCCUUGGAGGGGAGGCUGGUCCCAGUCUCUCCCUCCCUCCUUUGAACCUUGAACCAGACUGGACCAGAGCUGGCAGUCCAGUCUGAUUGGCCGGCCAAUUACUUUAAAAAAUUUUAAAAAAAUCCAAAAUUAUUUCAACAGUUUGAUUGCCUUAACUUGGAUUGAACCAAAAUCGAGACCGGAACCACCCUUGAAACAGAAUUGUG